GUAGUGAGCUCCCCACUCCGAUUAUUUCAACCAAUCCCGUCAAAGCAUCUUCCAUCUCUCUCCCGCACGUUAGCAGCUGAUGGUGUGUUGCUUGAUGUCCUCAUUUCUGUCAAUAUUUACAUGGCAACCAGCACCUAGAAAAUUGUUGACUUUAGUAUUUUCAUUCAAAAACAUGAAUAAAAUAAGAAGCCUCUUGCAAGAGGACAAUAUGGAAACUAGGAGAAAUAUAUUGGUCGUUCAAGAGGUUUGCUCGGAGCAAAUCGGAAAAGGAAGUAGGAGCAGAAUGGAGGCAGUACGCUGAUGCAGGUUAUGUUUGGGAGAAGAAAUUUGAUUACUUGAUGAACUAAUCAAUAUGUCUAUCAACUCACCAAGUGAUCUUACAUGAAGAAGAAGUCGCUUAUAACGAUGAAUUAGGAAAGAUACGCCUGUUUCAAAUGAGCAACAAUUUUCUGAAUUUGAUGACAAUGCAAAAUGAUUAAAAGAUGAGGAGCUACAAGCAAAUAUCAUCAAUACUUUGUUCUAAAGGGAUGAUUCAGCUAACAAAAAACAGAAGUGAAGGAUUUUUCUACUGGAACUCUAGCUACUUUACGCAUAUCACACGUAUCAACAUCACUUGAGAUGGAUAAGAAUGAAGAUGGAAUAAAUAUUUUAUGAUAUUUUCAUGAUCCGCCAUGAAAUAUCGCAAUUAAUUACUUGAAUGGAUUUUAUUAAUGGAAUUUUGGUCCCAACAUAAAACUAAGUUACUAUACAAAUUUAAACAAAUAAACCUGGGCGUAGAUUCUUGCUGUGUACUGUGCACCAAACAAAAUCAUAAGUAAACCAAAAAGAAUUUCACAACAAGUAAAUAAGCAGAGAUGUUUUAAAAUAAGACUAAGUAAGGAGACAAUGGAAGAUGCUGCUAAUAAUUUGGAAGAACUUUUGUGUUCAUGAACUACAAGAAUAGAACUACCUGUACUCAAACAUCAUCAUUUUCAGAAUGCAGUAAAAAAAAAACACAAAAGCUUUUUGAAGAACAAUUGGAAAAUAAUAAAGUUUCUUUAAAUGUACAAAGUAAUGCUCUAAGUUACAAAUGCUAUAGAAACUAUAUCAUUUUAAAAGUAUACAUAUAAGCUUGCUUUUCUACUCAAAAGUAUGCAAAAGUCAUAGAUCAUGCAUAGUGCAAUAUUUAAUCAAAUAAUUCACAAAUUAUGAAUGAGAAUAGUUUUUUACGCAAUAUGACGUAUCGAACAGUUGAUUAAAUAAGCAAUAAACUUACUUAAAAAGAAAA